rnacentral:rRNA from 1 species
UACGUAGGGUGCAAGCGUUGUCCGGAAUUAUUGGGCGUAAAGAGCUCGUAGGCGGUCUGUCGCGUCGGCUGUGAAAACCUGGGGCUCAACUCCGGGCCUGCAGCCGAUACGGGCUGACUAGAAUUCGGUAGGGGAGACUGGAAUUCCUGGUGUAGCGGUGAAAUGCGCAGAUAUCAGGAGGAACACCGAUGGCGAAGGCAGGUCUCUGGGCAUUAACUGACGCUGAGGAGCGAAAGCAUGGGGAGCGAACAGG